GACGAACGCUGGCGGCGUGCUUAACACAAGCAAGUCGAACGAAGUGGCGAACGGGUGAGUAACGCGUAAUCAACCUGCCCUUCAGAGGGGGACAACAGUUGGAAACGACUGCUAAUACCGCAUACUGAAGGAGGGGUUUGCGUCGGAUUAGCUUGUUGGGGGGGUAACGGCCCACCAAGGCGAUGAUCAGUAGCCGGUCCGGGCGGAUGAACGGCCACAUUGGGACUGAGACCCGGCCCAGACUCCUACGGGACGCAGCAGUGGGGAAUCUGCCGAAAUGGACGAAAGUCUUACGGAGCGCCGCCGCGUGCGGGAUGACGGCCUUCAGGUUGUAAAGCUCUGUUGAUCGGGACGCGGUACCGGAAUAGAAAGCCACGGCUAACUACUUGCCAGCAGCCGCGGUAAUUC
rnacentral:rRNA from 1 species